CCUACGGGAGGCAGCAGUGAGGAAUAUUGGUCAAUGGGCGGAAGCCUGAACCAGCCAAGUAGCGUGCAGGAUGACGGCCCUACGGGUUGUAAACUGCUUUUAUACGGGAAUAACGCGCCUUACGUGUAGGGCUUUGCAUGUACCGUAUGAAUAAGGACCGGCUAAUUCCGGGCCAGCAGCCGCGGUAAUACGGAAGGUCCGGGCGUUAUCCGGAUUUAUUGGGUUUAAAGGGAGCGUAGGCGGCAUGUUAAGCGUGCUGUGAAAUGUCCGGGCUCAACCCGGGCCUUGCAGCGCGAACUGGCGUGCUGGAGGCCGCGGAAGGCAGGCGGAAUGCGGGGUGUAGCGGUGAAAUGCUUAGAUAUGACGAAGAACACCGAUGGCGAAGGCAGCCUGCUGCAGCGAAACUGACGCUGAUGCUCGAAAGCGCGGGUAUCGAACAGGAUUAGAUACCCUUGUAGUC
rnacentral:rRNA from 1 species